rnacentral:lncRNA from 1 species
GAAGUGAGCCGGACAUGGGUCCAACUACUGGGGGGGGACUGUUGCGUACACCCUAGUUGUAACGCUGCACCUACUUCAAAAGAGCGUACCUUGCCCGGUCUUAGGACACCGGUGAAGUGAAGUUGUCGGUGGUUGACUGACAGAUAGGGAAACGUCAGAAUUAGAAGAGAAGCAAAGGUGAAUUGCAAUGGCCAACACGCCGUCUAAGUGAAUUCGAUAUUCUACAAUUAGUUAUUGCCUAAAUUAGUUAACGCCUAAAUAUUACCCUACAAUCCUAGUGAGUUCUGCUUAAACCUAAGUUUGCCGGUUAGCGAGGGAGAGAGCUGAUCGCACAUGCAGUUAUUCUAUUGAACACAUAUUUUUGAGUCUUAAGAAAAUUAUCCUCUUAAAUUGCCAUCGUCCGUAAUCGAACCAAACCAUUAGCCGUGCAGGAAACUUACAAACGUAAGUAAGAAGACCUUAUAACCUAAAAUGUAUAAAACUAAACAAAACAUGAAUUACAGGAA